GAUGGAGUAAAUGUUAAUCUUGCUUGUGGAGUACAAUAUUUAUGGUAUUUUUAUCUUGAAAGAUAGAAGUUGAAUUAUCCUCUUUUCAAAAGGAGUACAGGUUUGUGUAAAGAACUUGGGUAGACUCCCCAUUUCUUUUGCAAGAAACCCUAGCUUGUGCAACAUGAGUAUAUGUGUUAAUGGUAUUUUUCCAUGGCUUGAUACAUCAAGGACAUGGUUUGGACACUUUUUGUAAAUCUUUUAAAAUCUGGCUACGGUGGUACUAAUUUCACUUCAUAUCUUACUUCUCCUUUUAUUUGAAUGAUGCGUAAACAUUAUAUUUAAAAGCUAGUUUUGGAGUUGGCGUUUAUAGCACUCGUAUUUGUAUCAAUUACUAAAAAAUUAAUAAGAG
rnacentral:lncRNA from 1 species